UUCAAUUUCUUCUUCUUCUUCUUCAUCUCUAAGUCUUAGAGAUGAGUGUCUAAUAGAGGAAGAUGUAUUUCCCUUCUCGACUUGUUUAGGCCUAACAUGUGAACUAGAGGUCAUGGAUGCAAUAUUUUUUCCUCUAGUACAAUAUUCAGGCUCUUCAGCUCCACUAGCCCUAGCAACGACAUCCCAUGUCAAGUCAUCACCUUCAAAAACCAACUCAUCUUCUUCAUUAUCACUUUCUCCAUCCAUUCUACCCAUCAACCAUUCAUUACUAUCAUCAAUAUCUAUCAAAGAGAUGGGGUCAAUCUUAUCACGUGCGUCAUACCGAAGUUUUAAGGCACGAUUGUAUUUCACAAAUAGCAAAUCAUUUAAGCGCUGCUGAGCUAGCCUAUUCCUUUUUUGCUGUGAAUCUACAAAAUGUCAAAAAUCACAAUAAGUAUAAUAAAAUAAUAAAGGAUAUUUUCUACUUAUAAAAGUAACAUACUAAUAGUAUUACAUUUAUAUUUAUUACAUACCUGCUCAAAUACACUCCAAUUGCGCUCACAACGAGAAGCACUACAAGUGAGGCUAAGCACUUUAAUAGCAAACUUUUGCAAUUCUGGGGUAUUUGCUCCGUAGCAUUCCCACCAUUCUGCUGGAGAUAAUGCUCUUCUAUGUCUAAUUGCCACAUUCCUCCCAAAUAGUCCUUCUGCCAUUCGAUAUAUAGAGAGCUGGGUAGUGAUUUUAUCUUGUUCGGCAGCGUUUGAAACCAAUCUCUCCAUAGUUUCAAACAAAUCAUUCACCACUUCUCCACAGAUAUUUGAAUCUGUGUAUGAAUAAAAAUAUUCUGGAUUCAACUAAUGUCCUGCAGCAUGCAGAGGUCGAUGAAGUUUGCAUUUCCAUCUCUUAUCAAUGAUCUCAAACACUUCUUUGUAUUUCUCUUCUUUCUCCUUAAAGGCCUUCAUAAUUAUUUCUUUUGCCCUAUCCAUAGCCUCAUAAAUAUGACCCAUUGCAGGUUUUCUUUCGCCGUCAACCAGUCUCAGAACACGGAUUAAAGGGCCAUAUAUCUUUAAAAUAUGCAGAAUACUGCUCCAAAAUCUAAGUGUCAUGAUAAUUUUAGCUACUUUCUUCCCCGCCGCUUCUUUUGCCCAUUUACUCUCUGUCCAAUCCUUUGAAAUGGAUAUUUUUUUUAAAUUUUGCUUCUGUAGAUGCAUCCUUUCAAGAGCGAGAAAAGCAGUAGCAAAUCUUGUGACACCCGCUCGACAAAGCUCUUUUUGUCUUGUGAAUUGCCUCAACAUAUUUACCAUGCCGGGGCGAACAUAAAUGUAAGCAUUCACACUCAUUGCCUUCUUCAAUGUUGCUUUAAAAUCAGGCAAUUUCCCAAUAUCUUCUAAGAUCAAGUCGACACAGUGAGUAGCACAAGGAGUCCAAUACAAGUGUGACCUUUUUGCUUCUAAUAAUUUUCCUAUAAAAGAAGUUAGAAAACUAGAUAAUUUUAACAUAUAUAAGAAAAAGCAUAAUGAUAAGAAAAAAUUAAAUACAUUCUUACUAGCAAGCACAUUGUUACUUGCACUAUCCGUUACAACUUGAAUAACAUUUACUUCUCCUACAUGCUCCACAAAUUGAUCAAGCAAUUGAAAUAUUUUCUCUCCAGUUUUUGCAUAAUCAGAAGCAUCAACCGAUUCGAUGAAAACUGAACCUCUAGGAGAAUUCACUAAAAAAUUAAUCAAUGUCCUCUGCCUUUUGUUUGUCCACCCAUCUGGCAUCAAACUACAACCAUACUUUGCCCAUUCUGUUUCACACGACUUAAUGUAAUCAUUAGUCAUAUUAUCAACAGUCUUUUCUAGAAAAGAAAUCCGCACCUCAUGAUAACUAGGUCUUUUUAGACCUACACCAUAUUGGCCAACCAAGUCCAACAUCCUUUUAAAGCUUGAAUAGUUAACGACAUUAAAAGGAAUUGCCGCAUCAUACAUCCACUUAGUUAUAGCUAUACUUGUUUUUUUUCCUCAAUUCUUUCUUGUAUGCCUCAUUUAUCGUAGUUUGCCUCUCUUUACCCUUUCUACUUUCAAUAUUUUUUUGCACAUUAGGAGCAAAAUACGUAUCCAUUGGACCUAUUUAUCUUGACCUUUUUUUGCAUAUUCACUGAUCUAGAACUUGUACUUAUAGGCGGUACAACUUUAGCUCCAAUAUCAUCCAUAUCAAUAUCAUCACCAAGAGGGUCUGCAUCCUCAAAAUCUAAUGUCGCAAGUUUAGAAAGAUUGCUUUUCUCCGCCUUUUUCUCCAUGAAAUUUUUUAUUUCUUCACGUACAUGAGGCGGACAUUUCUUGCAAGUCGUAGUAUUUUGAAACCCUCCAACAAGAUGUUGUUUUGCACGAUAGAUACCUCCUUUUGUAACUUUUUGAUAAAAGUUACAAAUCAAAUCAUUUUUGUUAUUCGGAUUAACUCUUUGAAAAUAAUUCCAUGCCGGAUCUUUUGAUAUAUAUGUUGGAGUAUCACUACUACCUUCCAUGAUAAUUGAACAAGAAAAUAACCUAAAAAUUAAAAACAAAAUAAUAAAAAAUUAAUGAAUUAAUGGAAUGGUAAACUACUGUACCUAGUAUCAACAAUAAUAGAAAAGUACUGUAUCACUGGUACCAGCAAUAGAAAAAUAGGAAAAUAAAAAGAAAAACAGGGACAACAUCACAGGCUUGAUUAUGCAAAAAGGGAGAGAAAAUAUUUGCACAUCACAUUGCCAACAAGCACAUUGUUUGCACAUUGUUUUAAUUGGCUAAAAUUACCAGCAAACAGGGACAGCAUCACAGUUUUCACAGCAGCAGCAGUUUUUUACAGUCCCAGCAACAGAAAACAAAAAAAUAAAAAGAAAAACAGUAAAAAAAAAGAAACGGGACAGCUAUCACAACAGCAGCAAUUUUGCUGUCAACGGGAAGGGAAAAACAAAAAAGAAAACAGAGGAAGAAGAUAUAACAGAGAAAAGAAACGAAAGUGAUGAAAAAACAUUGAAAACUUGAAAUAUUGAACAGUGAAAACGAUGAAAAGAAGAAGAAGAAGAAGAAAAAAAAGAAAAAACAGAAAAAGAAGAGAAGGAGCGAAGCGAAGAAGCGAAGAAGAUUACAAAAGAAGAAGAUGAGAAGAAGAAGAUGAAGUGAAGAAUAGAAAAACAAAAAAAAAAGAUGGAAAAAACGCAUACCUGGGCAGCGACGGAAGCAACUCAGCAGCGGCGGCGGCAGUGGAGGAUGGCGCGACUCUUCUGCAAGAAAUCGUGAACGGGAAGGAUCGCGCGAUGCCCUUCGAUCGCGCGAUGCACUUUGAUCGCGCCUUCUGUGAGGUGCGAAAGCGCCCUAGGCGUGCCCAGGCGCGCCUAGGCGCGCGCCUGGCGAACAACGCCUGCCUCGCGCUGUAGAAGGUGCUUUUCUCAGCGCCUCGUGCGCCUGACGCCUCAGGCGCGCCUUCAACAACCCAGAUUGUGUCCCAAACUAUUUCCAUAUCAGCUUCUCAACUAGCUAAUGAAGGUCACAUCCUUAUGUGCAAUUAGUGUUGGUAGCCCAUGCAAUGCAACAAUUUUCUUAUAAAACAACUCAGUUAUAUGAGAUGCAUCUAUUGUCUUAUUGCAGAAAAUGAAAUGUGUCAUUUUAGAAAAUCAGCCACAACUUCAAUUGGUCCAAGGUAGCCCUAAAACAAAAUUCAUACUUUCCAUGACUUAUAAAGAAUUGGUACUGUGUAUAAAGGCCUAUGUUUUGUUUAGUUACAUUAACUAUCUAUAACAUAUGAUACCAUAAUACAACCCUAUGUUUUCCUCAAGUAUGAUUAAUAAAACUUAUAUAAAGCAAGGUCUGAUUUUGCGUUUUCCAAAAUGUUCUAUUGAGUUCUUUAUGUUACUCUAUUGAAUAUUUGUCACAGUUUUAACACUCGCUAACAACCUAACACAACCCUCCUUUUUUAUCCGGGCUUGGGACCGACCAUGACUGGUUCGUCAUGGGCGGAGUU